rnacentral:tRNA from 1 species
GCCUUCGUGGUGUAGUGGUCAGUACGCUCGACAUGUAGCUGAGAGGUCUGUGGUUCGAUUCCCGCCGAAGGCG